AUCCAACUUGAUCUCCUGCUUGUUUUCCAUCUCCAGUGAACAAGGGAGAGAAGGGAAGGUGGAACUCCUGAGCAGUACCUCCUCACAAGAUCCAUGGAAAGCUCUUUUUGUUGUGAUGGUGGUGGUGUCUGUUUGCAUGGUUGGCUUCAUUUUCUACCUCCACCACAGACAGAAGAGAGCAGGAUACAUGGCGGCCAAAAAAGAUGAAGAUCAAACAGAUUCAG